GACGAACGCUGGCGGCGUGCUUAACACAUGCAAGUCGAACGGAAAGGCCCUGCUUUUGUGGGGUGCUCGAGUGGCGAACGGGUGAGUAACACGUGAGUAACCUGCCCUUGACUUUGGGAUAACUUCAGGAAACUGGGGCGAAUACCGGAUAGGAGCUCCUGCUGCAUGGUGGGGGUUGGAAAGUUUCGGCGGUUGGGGAUGGACUCGCGGCUUAUCAGCUUGUUGGUGGGGUAGUGGCUUACCAAGGCUUUGACGGGUAGCCGGCCUGAGAGGGUGACCGGCCACAUUGGGACUGAGCUACGGCCCAGACUCCUACGGGAGGCAGCAGUGGGGAAUAUUGCACAAUGGGCGGAAGCCUGAUGCAGCAACGCCGCGUGCGGGAUGACGGCCUUCGGGUUGUAAACCGCUUUCGCCUGUGACGAAGCGUGAGUGACGGUAAUGGGUAAAGAAGCACCGGCUAACUACGUG
rnacentral:rRNA from 1 species